CAGCCGCCACGGUAACACGUAGGGUGCAAGCGUUAAUCGGAAUUACUGGGCGUAAAGCGUGCGCAGGCGGUCCGCUAAGACAGAUGUGAAAUCCCCGGGCUUAACCUGGGAACUGCAUUUGUGACUGGCGGGCUAGAGUAUGGCAGAGGGGGGUAGAAUUCCACGUGUAGCAGUGAAAUGCGUAGAGAUGUGGAGGAAUACCGAUGGCGAAGGCGGCUCACUGGUCCAUUACUGACGCUGAGGUGCGAAAGCGUGGGAGCAAACAGGAUUAGAUACCCCAGUAGUCCCUGUCUCUUAUACA
rnacentral:rRNA from 1 species